ACUUUCAGGAAGCUGAACUUUCCAUGAUUACCAUGAGAACGAUAAAGUAUUCCAUAUAGUGCAAAAAUAUAGCUCUUUAAUAAGCUUAGCAUAACUAAAUAAAGUGAUAGACUAAAAUCAAUAACUGCGAGAUAGUUUUUGUGGAGCUUAACUUGGAUUAAACCAUCUGGGAGAAGUUAAUCCUCGCAAAAAGUUAAUAUCGAAAAUUGUCGUAGUAUUUAUGCCAUUACCGUAUUCAAAGAUGAUCAGAUCAACUUUUAAGACCAACAAGUAACGCAAACUAGAUGAUGGUAUCCCAAAAGGAAUUGAGCUCGCUGAGUUUCGAAGAUUAAUUCGGCAGAUAGAAGAGGACACCAAUAAAAAAAACUUGCCUAUAUAUUUACUAUCAUCAUCAUCAGUAGCGCAACAACCAAUGUCUGGUCUCCAUCCAUCCAUAUGAAGCGCGUCUUUUUUCUAUCUUAAUGCCCUUAUAGACUUUCUGAGCUUUAUCAUCCUCACUCGCACGGAUUAUUUUACCCGCCCACCGCAGCCUAUUGAGCCAAAUUUUAUCCACAACCAGACGAUCUUGUGACAUAAAUGUGUAGAAAUUUAUGAAGAUGGCAUUAAUCCUAAAAGUUACAGCCUUAUGAACACUGCACUUGAACCAUGGAAUUGAGCGAGGGAUCGUUUUGAAACGAUCAUUAAGCCCAAACAAGUCGGGAAACCGGACGCUGAACA